rnacentral:lncRNA from 1 species
CCGCCGUCGCCGCCCGCUCUUGCUCUCUCGCGCUCCCCGCCCGUCGCUCUCCGUCGGUUCUCUCGUUAGUCCACCGCCACCUCCACAGCCACCCGCCGUAGUCUUCGAGCUCGCGACUCGCGGACAGGCGUUCUCGGCGCGGAGAAGCCGGCCUUGGAGUCGUCGCCUUAGUGCCUUUCAUCUGAGAAGUUCAGGGCACUUUGUAGAACUUCUGCCACACAGGCCGUUGGUCUUGCAGCACAUUUGUAAGAAAUUCCCAGCUGGGGCUCUAAUCUGAGCUUUAGAGGCUGGUCUGUGCCAUAGCCACAGCAAUAUGGACCUGAGCUGCCUCAGUGAGUACACCGAAGCUCAUGGCAUCACCGGAUCCUCAACCCUCAUGGAUAUUAUUUGGGUUUGUUACUGCUGAGCCACAACAGGGACUCCAAUUUUUGCUUUUCUAAUCAUUUGUACAAUACUGAUUUCUAACAACUUCAUUCGAAAGAGAAAUAAAAAGUAUAAAAUUUCAACUGGAUAACAUAAUUGAGGCAAAUGGAUGUCAACAGGAUAAGUCUUAAGGACUUGUCUGUUAUGUCCUCUGCGUUUGAAGAAAUGAAUGCAGUAAAAAAUAAAUAAAUAAAACCUGUCAUGUCC